CGCGGCUGGCGUGGUUGGCGCAGGCGCGGCUGCUGCCUGCGGGGCAGUGCCCGCUGCCGGUGCGGAGCUUCCGGCAGCACCAGCCACGGC
rnacentral:tRNA from 1 species